rnacentral:sRNA from 1 species
AUGUUUCACGAAUUAGCUCAUGAUUUGGAUCAAAUAGAUUACAGCGGUGAAGGUCCAUGGUCCCCGUUGAUUCCCAAUUCAACAUGUGUACCUAUGGAAGAGGACCAUGUUGCAGAUCUAGAAAUGGCUCCUGAAUCCAUGGAAACCGAUAAAGCAUCAACCUCUACUAGAACCAACCCACCUCAGAUUGGCUUUAGCGGUGUGAAAAAAAUACCAUAUACCAUUCAAAAUAAAGAAAUUAUUCAAAAUUCUUGGCAGCAAAGAGAACAUUUUACUAAAGAAGAUUACCAAACAAACGUAUUUAUUGCUACUUUUACAACUUGGUGGGCGCGCCUUAAACUGUAUGAAGUGUUACAGAUGCUGGAUAGAAGAGUCUUAUAUUUCGAUUCGGAUUCAGUCAUUUUCUUCAGCAGACCUGGAGAUCAGGAACCAAAAGUCGGAUCAUUUCUCGGACAACUUACCAGUGAGUUACACGCCGAAGAAUACAUUACACAAUUUGUUUCGGGAGGACCUAAAAAUUACGCUUACAGAACUUCUGAAGAAAAAGAAGUAUGCAAAAUCAAAGGAUUUACCCUGAACUAUGUCAACAGUUUAAAACCUAAUUUCGCUCCCAUGCUGGGCUUGAUAUCAGGCCAGACCAGGGCCAACAUUCCGAUUCAACAGAUUCAUUUACAACGAUUGUUAACGCACACAGAUAUGACCUAA